rfam:Myotis davidii contig53563, whole genome shotgun sequence.
GGCAGUUCUUGGGUGAUGCACCCUGGAAUCAGGCUCCCUCUCUGGUUCUGGGUGCAUCACCGCAGCU